UAGUUUUUUUAGGUUUUGAUUUUUAUUGAAUUCAGAUGAGAAAACCAAAACCUAAAGAAAAUA
rfam:Lepisosteus oculatus linkage group LG14, whole genome shotgun sequence.